ACUCCUACGGGAGGCAGCAGUGGGAAUAUUGCACAAUGGGCGCAAGCCUGAUGCAGCCAUGCCGCGUGUGUGAAGAAGGCUUUUCGGGUUGUAAAGCACUUUCAGUGGGGAGGAAGGCUUGAUGGUUAAUACCCAUCAAGAUUGACGUUACCCACAGAAGAAGCACCGGCUAACUCCGUGCCAGCAGCCGCGGUAAUACGGAGGGUGCAAGCGUUUAAUCGGGAAUUACUGGGGCGUAAAAGCGC
rnacentral:rRNA from 1 species